AGAGUUUGAUCCUGGCCCAGGACGAACGCUGGCGGCGUGCCUAAUACAUGCAAGUAGAACGCUGAAGAGAGGAGCUUGCUCUUCUUGGAUGAGUUGCGAACGGGUGAGUAACGCGUAGGUAACCUGCCUGGUAGCGGGGGAUAACUAUUGGAAACGAUAGCUAAUACCGCAUAAAAUGGAUUAUCGCAUGAUAAUCCAUUGAAAGGUGCAAAUGCAUCACUACCAGAUGGACCUGCGUUGUAUUAGCUAGUUGGUGGGGUAACGGCUCACCAAGGCGACGAUACAUAGCCGACCUGAGAGGGCGAUCGGCCACACUGGGGCUGAGACACGGCCCAGACUCCUACGGGAGGCAGCAGUAGGGAAUCUUCGGCAAUGGACGGAAGUCUGACCGAGCAACGCCGCGUGAGUGAAGAAGGUUUUCGGAUCGUAAAGCUCUGUUGUAAGAGAAGAACGAGUGUGAGAGUGGAAAGUUCACACUGUGACGGUAUCUUACCAGAAAGGGACGGCUAACUACGUGCCAGCAGCCGCGGUAAUACGUAGGUCCCGAGCGUUGUCCGGAUUUAUUGGGCGUAAAGCGAGCGCAGGCGGUUAGAUAAGUCUGAAGUUAAAGGCUGUGGCUUAACCAUAGUACGCUUUGGAAACUGUUUAACUUGAGUGCAAGAGGGGAGAGUGGAAUUCCAUGUGUAGCGGUGAAAUGCGUAGAUAUAUGGAGGAACACCGGUGGCGAAAGCGGCUCUCUGGCUUUGUACUGACGCUGAGGCUCGAAAGCGUGGGGAGCAACAGGAUUAGAUACCCUGGUAGUCCACG
rnacentral:rRNA from 1 species